UACAGAGGGUGCGAGCGUUGUCCGGAAUCACUGGGCGUAAAGGGCGCGUAGGCGGACGGUUCAAGUCGGGGGUGAAAGCCCGGGGCUCAACCUCGGAAUUGCCUUCGAUACUGGCUGUCUUGAGUGUGAGAGAGGUGUAUGGAACUCCGAGUGUAGAGGUGAAAUUCGUAGAUAUUCGGAAGAACACCAGUGGCGAAGGCGACACACUGGCUCACUACUGACGCUGAGGCGCGAAAGCGUGGGGAGCAAACAGG
rnacentral:rRNA from 1 species